AGACAUAUGACCAUCUAUACUUUGAAUGUUCCUACUCCCAGAAGCUAUGGCAAGGAAUACUACAUUGGCUGAACUUUACCAGAACAAUAGAAAGAUGGGAUGUAGAAGUGCAAUGGGUUACUACCUAUGGCAAGGAAUACUACAUUGGUGAACUUUACCAGAACAAUAAUAAGAUGGGAUGUAGAAGUGCAAUGGGUUACUAGCAGGGUAAACAAUAGGCAACCAAGUGAAAUGAUAUCGGGAGUGGCGUUCGCAACAGUUGUAUACAAUGUUUGGAUGGAAAGGAACGCCUGAAGGUUUCAACAGUCGAAGAACAAAGCAUCAAACAGAGCAAGGCAGAUUGUACUUCAAGUACACAUCACAGGACAAAAGAAGCCAAAAUGAAUAACCAUAUUACAGUAUUUGAAUAGCUA
rnacentral:lncRNA from 1 species